UACGAGGGGGGCAAAUGUUGUUCGGAAUCACUGGGCGUAAAGCGCACGUAGGCGGCUUUGUAAGUUAGAGGUGAAAGCCUGGAGCUCAACUCCAGAAUUGCCUUUAAGACUGCAUCGCUUGAAUCCAGGAGAGGUGAGUGGAAUUCCGAGUGUAGAGGUGAAAUUCGUAGAUAUUCGGAAGAACACCAGUGGCGAAGGCGGCUCACUGGACUGGUAUUGACGCUGAGGUGCGAAAGCGUGGGGAGCAAACAGG
rnacentral:rRNA from 1 species